UACGUAGGGUGCAAGCGUUAAUCGGAAUUACUGGGCGUAAAGCGUGCGCAGGCGGUUAUGUAAGACAGUUGUGAAAUCCCCGGGCUCAACCUGGGAACUGCAUCUGUGACUGCAUAGCUAGAGUACGGUAGAGGGGGAUGGAAUUCCGCGUGUAGCAGUGAAAUGCGUAGAUAUGUGGAGGAACACCGAUGGCGAAGGCAGCCCCCCUGGGUCAACACUGACGCUCAUGCACGAAAGCGUGGGGAGCAAACAGG
rnacentral:rRNA from 1 species